rnacentral:rRNA from 1 species
AUGCUUCGGUACCCGUCCCUCUCUCAGUCUCUCUCCCCGUCUCGCCAUGCUUGCUCUUCUCGCGAGGAUUUUUUGUUUUGUUUCUGUUUCCGGGAGCUCGGAGGGGAUCCUUGGUGUUCUUGGCGGGGGAGGAGGCGGCCUUGCUUGUUUUGGAUCGACUGCGAAAUCUUCUGCUUAUUUGGUGUUUCUUUUGCCGGCGGGAUUGGUUUGUCGGUAGAGCACACACAACUACGAGCGCUUCUUCUGCUUAUCCACCAAUGCCGGAGCUGUGUUGUCGAUUUCUGCUUGGAUUCUGCCUGGGUUACUUUCACGCAAACCAUCUCUGGUUUCCCUCUGCUGCUCAUAAAUAGGAGCACGCCACUCCCUUUUGAUCGAGCUGCUGCCUGGCCCUGCCUUCAGAAAAAAAAGAAAAGAAAAAGAAAUGCCCCUGCAUUUGACCAAUUUGUCCGCUCUCUAUCUCCGAUUCAUCCGGGCUUUUUCCUCGGUGCUGUCAUCUGA